UACGUAGGGCGCAAGCGUUGUCCGGAAUUAUUGGGCGUAAAGAGCUCGUAGGCGGUUUGUCGCGUCUGUCGUAAAAGCCCACGGCUUAACCGUGGGUCUGCGGUGGAUACGGGCAGACUAGAGGCAGGUAGGGGAGAAUGGAAUUCCCGGUGUAGCGGUGAAAUGCGCAGAUAUCGGGAGGAACACCGGUGGCGAAGGCGGUUCUCUGGGCCUGUACUGACGCUGAGGAGCGAAAGCGUGGGGAGCGAACAGG
rnacentral:rRNA from 1 species